AGAAUUCCCUAGUACGGCGAGUGAAGCGGGAAGAGCUCAAAUUUGAAAUCUGGUGGCCUCAGGUCAUCCGAGUUGUAAUCUAUAGAAGUGUUUUCCGUGCUGGCUCAUGUACAAGUCCCUUGGAACAGGGCGUCAUAGAGGGUGAGAAUCCCGUCCUUGACAUGAACUACCAGUGCUCUGUGAUACAUUUUCAACGAGUCGAGUUGUUUGGGAAUGCAGCUCAAAAUGGGUGGUAAAUUCCAUCUAAAGCUAAAUAUUGGCGAGAGACCGAUAGCGAACAAGUACCGUGAGGGAAAGAUGAAAAGCACUUUGGAAAGAGAGUUAAACAGUAUGUGAAAUUGUUGAAAGGGAAACGAUUGAAGUCAGUCGUGCUCUUUGGAUUCAGCCGGUUCUGCCGGUGUACUUCCUUUGAGUGGGGUCAACAUCAGUUUUGAUCGCUGGAUAAAGGCUGGAGGAACGUAGUACCCUCGGGUAAACUUAUAGCCUCCUGUCACAUACAGUGGUUGGGACUGAGGAACGCAGCACGCCUUUAUGGCCGGGAUUCGUCCACGUACGUGCUUAGGAUGUUGACAUAAUGGCUUUAAACGACCCGUCUUAGAAACACGGACCAAA
rnacentral:rRNA from 1 species